rnacentral:rRNA from 1 species
UACAGAGGGUGCAAGCGUUGUUCGGAUUCAUUGGGCGUAAAGGGUGCGUAGGUGGCGUGGUAAGUCUGGUGUGAAAUCCCGGGGCUCAACCCCGGAACUGCACUGGAUACUGCCAUGCUUGAGUACUGGAGAGGAGAUUGGAAUUUACGGUGUAGCAGUGAAAUGCGUAGAUAUCGUAAGGAAGACCAGUGGCGAAGGCGAAUCUCUGGACAGUUACUGACACUGAGGCACGAAGGCCAGGGGAGCAAACGGG